UUAAUUCGAUGCAACGUGAAGAACCUUACCAGGGCUUGACAUCCUGCUAACGAGGUAGAGAUACGUCAGGUGCCUUUCGGGGAAAGCAGAGACAGGUGGUGCAUGGUUGUCGUCAGCUCGUGUCGUGAGAUGUUGGGUUAAGUCCCGCAACGAGCGCAACCCUUAUUGUUAGUUGCUACGCAAGAGCACUCUAGCGAGACUGCCGUUGACAAAACGGAGGAAGGUGGGGACGACGUCAAAUCAUCAUGCCCCUUAUGUCCUGGGCUACACACGUAAUACAAUGGCGGCCAACAGAGGGAUGCAAAACCGCGAGGUGGAGCGAACCCCUAAAAGCCGUCCCAGUUCAGAUCGCAGUCUGCAACCCGACUGCGUGAAGUCGGAAUCGCUAGUAAUCGCGGAUCAGCAUGCCGCGGUGAAUACGUUCCCGGGCCUUGUACACACCGCCCGUCACACCAUGAGAGUCGGGAACACCCGAAGUCCGUAGCCUAACCGCAAGGGGGGCGCGGCCGAAGGUGGGUUCGAUAAUUGGGGUGAAGUCGUAACAAGGUAACCGU
rnacentral:rRNA from 1 species